CGGAUGCAGAACCUCAGCCCUCUUCUGGAGCAGAGACGUCCAUGGGUCUAGUAUUUGGGAAACACAACUUUGGAACACUCCAGACUCUGGGAUGAAGUCCUUGCUCCUUAGAGAAGUGUUUGAGGGCCUUGGGCUUGCAUGUGCUCACCUCCCCAGGACAUCACCUCUUUGCAUCCGACAGAUGUGGAGCUUUUCGGACACCACCCACGAACAACAGAGUAAAGCUCAAUAAAACUUUCUUGGCUAGUGGAGCUCUUUCUACCUAACCCCAUCGGCCAAGAAAAUUCUUAAGGUCAGGAGAGAGGAGACUGUUGCCGUGUAAAGUCCACAUCUUUAUCUCUGGGAAGUGUGAAAUUUUUCUGUUUCUCUGAAGAAGGUAUGUGUUCAAAGGGGUCAAGUACUCGGAUCUAGACUAA
rnacentral:lncRNA from 1 species